AGAAUCAACGCUGGCGGCGUGCCUAACACAUGCAAGUCGCACGAGAAAGGGACUUCGGUCCUGAGUAAAGUGGCGCACGGGUGAGUAACACGUGACUAAUCUACCCUCGAGUGGGGAAUAACCUAGGGAAACCUGGGCUAAUACCGCAUAACACUUACGAGUCAAAGCAGCAAUGCGCUUGGGGAGGAGGUCGCGGCAGAUUAGUUAGUUGGCGGGGUAAUGGCCCACCAAGACGAUGAUCUGUAUCCGGCCUGAGAGGGCGCACGGACACACUGGAACUGAAACACGGUCCAGACUCCUACGGGAGGCAGCAGUGGGGAAUUUUGCGCAAUGGGGGAAACCCUGACGCAGCAACGCCGCGUGGAGGAUGAAGUCUCUUGGGACGUAAACUCCUUUACGACAGGGACGAUAAUGACGGUACCUGUAGAAGAAGCCCGGCUAACUCGUGCCAGCAGCCGC
rnacentral:rRNA from 1 species